GUCUUUUGAGUACAUGAUCCGAACGAAUCGUCAAGUCUACCCACUAACACAUGCUAAGCACUAAAAAUUAUAAGUUCGACUCAUUUUGAUUAACUCUUAUAUCACAAUAAUGGUGGACCCGUGCAUAUACAACAACUACACCAAUGAAAAUCCCCUAAACAUAUAAAAUUUAGUGCUUAGCAUGUGCAGAUAGGCACACACCACACAAACCCAUCUCCGCCCUUGUCCCACAACUAAAAAAUGCACUAACUUGUAUUUAGCUGCAGUACGCCGGGAACAUCAACCCUGCACAGCACCUGUACAUACAGCAGUUUGCGCUGGGUGUGUAUACUAGUGUGUGUCAACUGCCUUGGAAAUUUUAUCAAGUUGGCCCUUGAGUCCACAAUGUAGCAGCCGUGCGUUGGCUGAAAAAUCAGUUUCCGCGUUUUGCUGUAGCCCAUAGUCAUGCUUCCCAGUGAGUUUGUGCUGUUAGAAGAGUAAACAGCCGGGAGUGACA
rnacentral:lncRNA from 1 species